rnacentral:rRNA from 1 species
UAUGCAGGCGCAGCUACACAUGCAGUCGAGCGGUAGCACAGAGAGCUUGCUCUCGGGUGACGAGCGGCGGACGGGUGAGUAAUGUCUGGGAAACUGCCUGAUGGAGGGGGAUAACUACUGGAAACGGUAGCUAAUACCGCAUAACGUCGCAAGACCAAAGUGGGGGACCUUCGGGCCUCAUGCCAUCAGAUGUGCCCAGAUGGGAUUAGCUAGUAGGUGGGGUAACGGCUCACCUAGGCGACGAUCCCUAGCUGGUCUGAGAGGAUGACCAGCCACACUGGAACUGAGACACGGUCCAGACUCCUACGGGAGGCAGCAGUGGGGAAUAUUGCACAAUGGGCGCAAGCCUGAUGCAGCCAUGCCGCGUGUGUGAAGAAGGCCUUCGGGUUGUAAAGCACUUUCAGCGGGGAGGAAGGCGGUGAGGUUAAUAACCUUGUCGAUUGACGUUACCCGCAGAAGAAGCACCGGCUAACUCCGUGCCAGCAGCCGCGGUAAUACGGAGGGUGCAAGCGUUAAUCGGAAUUACUGGGCGUAAAGCGCACGCAGGCGGUCUGUCAAGUCGGAUGUGAAAUCCCCGGGCUCAACCUGGGAACUGCAUUCGAAACUGGCAGGCUAGAGUCUUGUAGAGGGGGGUAGAAUUCCAGGUGUAGCGGUGAAAUGCGUAGAGAUCUGGAGGAAUACCGGUGGCGAAGGCGGCCCCCUGGACAAAGACUGACGCUCAGGUGCGAAAGCGUGGGGGAGCAAACAGGAUUAGAUACCCUGGUAGUCCACGCCGUAAACGAUGUCGAUUUGGAGGUUGUGCCCUUGAGGCGUGGCUUCCGGAGCUAACGCGUUAAAUCGACCGCCUGGGGAGUACGGCCGCAAGGUUAAAACUCAAAUGAAUUGACGGGGGCCCGCACAAGCGGUGGAGCAUGUGGUUUAAUUCGAUGCAACGCGAAGAACCUUACCUGGUCUUGACAUCCACAGAACUUUCCAGAGAUGGAUUGGUGCCUUCGGGAACUGUGAGACAGGUGCUGCAUGGCUGUCGUCAGCUCGUGUUGUGAAAUGUUGGGUUAAGUCCCGCAACGAGCGCAACCCUUAUCCUUUGUUGCCAGCGGUUCGGCCGGGAACUCAAAGGAGACUGCCAGUGAUAAACUGGAGGAAGGUGGGGAUGACGUCAAGUCAUCAUGGCCCUUACGACCAGGGCUACACACGUGCUACAAUGGCAUAUACAAAGAGAAGCGACCUCGCGAGAGCAAGCGGACCUCAUAAAGUAUGUCGUAGUCCGGAUUGGAGUCUGCAACUCGACUCCAUGAAGUCGGAAUCGCUAGUAAUCGUAGAUCAGAAUGCUACGUAUGCUUA